GUGAGGAAUAUUGCACAAUGGAGGAAACUCUGAUGCAGCAACGCUGCGUGGAGGAUGACGCAUUUCGGUGUGUAAACUCCUUUUAAGAGGGAAGAUUAUGACGGUACCUCUUGAAUAAGCACCGGCUAACUCCGUGCCAGCAGCCGCGGUAAUACGGAGGGUGCAAGCGUUACUCGGAAUCACUGGGCGUAAAGGGUGCGUAGGCUGACUUUUAAGUCAGGCGUGAAAUCCAAUGGCUUAACCAUUGAACUGCGCUUGAAACUGGGGGUCUAGAGUUCAGAAGGGGCAGAUGGAAUUAGUGGUGUAGGGGUAAAAUCCGUAGAUAUCACUAGGAAUAUCAAAAGCGAAGGCGAUCUGCUGGGAUGAUACUGACGCUGAGGCACGAAAGCGUGGGGAGCAAACAGGAUUAGAUACCCGAGUAGUCC
rnacentral:rRNA from 1 species